GGCGGAUGUAGCCAAGUGGCUCAAGGCAGUGG
rnacentral:tRNA from 1 species